rnacentral:lncRNA from 1 species
CUUCGCCCCCACCCAGCGGCGGCUGCUUCGGGCUUCUCGGCUCAAAAACAACAGCGGAGGCGCCGCCAGCUCCGCGCUCCGCCACUGCCCCGGCCGGCGGGCUGCACUCGGACCCGCCGUCCUCCGUACGGCGCCCAGCGACGGAGCGCAGCGCACUCUGCGUUGGGGGCGGCUUGGGGGCCGCCGUCCGAACACCGGGCGUCCUCUGCCCCGCGUCCCCCUGGCGUCCCGCACCUCUCCGCCUCGGGGGCGUAUCCGCGCGCUCUGGCCUCUGCUCCCCUGCUUGACUGCCGCCGUGGCCCCCAGGUGAGUACCCGGGUGCGCGAGCGCCAGGGCUGGGACACUUUCGGGAGCCGGGGGGCCUCUGCGGACCCCGCUGGCCUCUCGGGGACCCAGAUGCGUCCAGGCUGGAGGGCCAGCGGUGCAGGUGGAGGAGCGCGGGCGGGAGCCGACCAGGCGCUUCUUCUGCCCCAGCAACCCUCAAAUUGAGGCGCGGCAGCAGAGAGGUCUGCCUGGGCACCCGCAGGGUGGACCCAGCCCAGGGGCCUGAUGAAGUGAGUGCGGAUUCCUCAUUCAAGUAUGGAAAGCCGACAGAGGCGCUACCCUGACUGGUUCGCUGCCCCUCUCGUCCUUCCAGAGUAUCAAGGUUCCGCCAGGCAGGAAGACUUGGAGCUGUCACUGCGUCACCCGAGCCCGGGGCAGGGGUCGUGCCCACGGGUCCAGGUCUCUCUGCUACCCAGGGUGGGGCUCCUGUCCAUGCCCACCCACUCUUUGUUGUGCAAUGAAACCAGUAUCCGUUGCACUGAGACCUACACACGGAAACCUGCGUCUUUGCCUUUUGCCUUAAAUUGGCCACGGCUGCAGAGCUACGCCGAGGGCUCGGCCCCAGCAGAGACCAGAGAUGUGGGGCCUAGGGACGCAGGGCCCAUGCCACCCCAGAGGAAAAGCCCCUGCGGACCCAGACUAGAUGGUGUGCUGGGCCUUCCGCCUUCUAGUCUCAGAAGUCGACAGCCUCUUUCCUGCUGGGCUUCCUGCCCCUGUGAGAUUUCCAGGCGGUUGCCCAGUCCUGCACCCUACUCACUGCCCCGCAUGCGGAAGUGCUCACUGGCCACUGCCCCCAGGCUCUUUCUGGCCCUAGGUGAGUGUGUCCAGGAAGCCCUUCAGUGAGGUUCUGCAGAGGGUCUAUCAGACCAUUACUCACCCUCCCCACACUGACUACCUGUCCCCUGAGCUGGGACACAGGAGUAUCCGGCUUCCAGGGACAUGCUCUGUAGGUCUUGGUGGGGAGUUCCCAUGGCAGGCUAGGGCACUGUUUUAGGCCUGACCGGUCCUGGCAGCCUGUGAACCUGCUCACUCCCAUGGGAAUGGGGGUACUGUGCUGCCUAACCUUGGCCCAAGGGCAGGCUCCAGACUCAGAACCUAACCUGGCUGGGGCUGCUAGCCAGACAACUCAAGGUCACCCCUUUACUGCAGCAACCCAGGUGUCCCUUGCUCCUGCCUGUAGCUGCCCGGGAUGUUUGGCGUGCAGCCUGGGGAGCUACACUGGAACCUGUGAAGUACUCUUACCUGGAGAGGGUACCUGCCCUUCCCCCAUCCCCACCAAGGGCUGCCUCCUCCCUGCCCUGGAGGCAGCCAGCAGGCCCCAAGGUUAGGAAGGCCCAGCCUUUUUCUGGGGUGCAGCAGCUCACCAGAGCCCUCUUCCUUCCUCCUUCUUCAGCUCAGGAAGGGUCUGUCUGAACUCUAGCGAGGCUGACUAGGACAGCCAUCUCUUGGGCUAACCCUUGCUGGCAGGAGGUGUGGGGAGUAGGCAAGGUUGUCUCUUUUCUCUGUCCUCUUUCAGGGCUCUUGGUUCUGGGGAGGAGAGGGACACCAUGGGCUUGCCUGGGGAUCUGUGGACCAAGGCUGAACAGUGAGAUGGCUGAGCUGCUGGGUCUCUCCAGGUGCUGAGGAGUAGUGUCUCCCCAGUAUGCUGGAGGGGCCCAGGCAGGCUAUCCCCAAGGCCAGGGCCCUGGCUGGGGUUGGGUCCUGGCCUGGCCAGGCCCUGCCCCCGCGUGGCCAGACUUAGAAGCUGAAGGCAGGGUAGGGCAGGCAUUGAGAAAGGGUGCAGCAGGAAAGUCAGAUGUAGCUCCACUCCAGGCCGGGAGGCCCCAAGGCCUUCGGUAUCCCAGCCUGGCAAAGACUUUUGGGGGACUUACCAGGCUUUAUGGGCAAGUGGGGGCCCUACUUGUGGAGGAAAGGUUGCUAUUGAAAGGUUUAAAAGCAAUUUUCAAUCUGAGCCAAGCUCUAGGGAGCUUGGGAGCUGAAUCCUGACCUCAAGGUCCUCACAUUGGGGAGCAGCAAGGUGUGGCUGUCUGAAUGGCAGCUCCCCACCCUAGAGAACCUCAGGCUGCUAUCAAGCUCUGGAACCAAUGUUAUUGCUGGGCCUGGGGGGACUAGAGAGGGGAGGAGGGCAGCAACUUCUACUGUGCUCGCUUGGGGCAGGGAAGGAGUUCAUGGACUCCCAGCCUUUCAGCAAGCUCAGAGAUACAGCUGGAGACAUCAGAUCAUCUCCUCUGGGAAGUGGUGUGGAUUGGGGGGAGUAAGAAAAGCUGAUUCUGUAGUGCUGGAGUGAGCAUCAGAAAAGACAACUGGCGAGGAGGAGCCCCAGCCCCAUGGGUUCCCCAGGAAGCUCUGCACUCCUGGUGGUCCCACACACACUUUCUGGGCUUGUGCCCCCUGCCUCCAGGAGAAGCCAGGUCUCUGGGGAGGAGGCUAGUUGUUGCAGUGCAUGGAGGUGGGGGGGGGUCCAACCUGGCCCAGUUGCCCCUGCCAGGGCCCCAGGGAGCCUUAUUGUAUCCCCGUGUGCUUGAGAUGGAAAGGGCUGCCUGGCCAGAUGUGUUGACCUUGCCAGGUUCUUGCCCCCGUCCCUCCCUGUUCCUUUGUGCUUGCCAAAUUCGGCCAGUGCCUUUGGGCACUCAGCCUCUGGGCUCUGUGGAAUUCCAAGUUUUGCUCACCCUCAGGUUCCUGUCUGGGUAGAAAAGAAAAUACACAUGGGCUUUCCCCGGAAGUCUGGAACCGUGGAACUGCUCAGGAGCGCUCUCCACUGGACUGAGACUCACAGACCUGACCCCACCCAACAUGUGGACCACUGAGUAGGUGAGGUUAGGUCUCUCUAGGUAUGUCAUCUGCUCCACCCUUGGUGGAAAUGUGUCUCAGAUUUAAUCAACAGCAGUAUGGAGGCCACGAGGGGCCCUUGGGGAUGAUCCAACUCACUUCCCAGACACAGAAAGGGAAAUGAAGGUGGUCUGCUGGGACCAGCCCCAGCAGGGGACUCAGGGGACCUGGGGCAGGAGGCUGGCCCGCCUGGGAGUUCAGUUAACACAACUGAGGUGAAGAGGAGAUCUGAAGGGCUCUUUCCCCCACCCAGCCAUUCCUCAGCUCUACACUGGGGUCACAGGAGCUCCUGACACUGAGUCUCAUAUCUCAGGCCCCCUUUACUCCUCUUCCCUCACCACGGGACUUUGCUGUGACAUGAAUGAUUCUGAGGACUGACAGACACAAUUCCCAAUUUCUGACCCAGGCUUUCCCCUCUGCUCCGCAGAGUCAAGGGUCCCGGCACCAAUGCCCUGUCCCAGAGUGGGUUGCCAGGAGAGUCCACUGCUCCCCAAGAUUUCCCAGGAAUGUGAGAAUAGCUGAUUUUGAACACACAGCCGUGCUCCUCGGAGCACAGAAGAAUGGUUGUCCCCGCAAUGGGCAGCCACCAGGGAGGGCCUUGCUGGGCCAUCCGCAGGCUCCAGGCUCCUGCGCCCAUAGCUGCCUGGUGGCUUGGCAUUCUUGUGUCCUCUAGUCCUUGCAGGUGAUUGGCUUUCCAGAAUGUAGACGUAGGGGUGUGCCACCUAUGUUGGCCCUUGCCACCGUGCACUUCUAGGGCCCGACAGGGAGUGCUUUUGUUUUAAGGGUAAGAUGGAAACUGGGUCGGAAGUCCAGGUCCUCUCCCGGUUGGAGCCCAGGAGGGGUUUGGCUCCUACACCCCUCCCAAAGCGACCCUCCAGAAGGUACUGGAAGUCCCCCACACCUCCUUCUCAUAGACUGAGCUCAGUAGAACUGGCCGAAGGGCCGAGAAGCACUGGGGCUCCGCAACCGCUGCGGGGAGCAAUAAACGGAAUUUGUUUCCCAAGAUUUUUCUCUCGAUCCCAGAAACGUUAAAAAUGCGUCAACGAAUCCUCCAGUCAAGUUUGAGCUGCGUGUGCACUUGAGCCGCGCAGCCAUAGUGUAGAGGGUCCCCUCCUGCCGCCCUCACCCCGGGGCCUCCAGCCCGCGCUUGCCGGGACAGCUUCGUUCCCACGGCGCCCUGGCCUGCAGCGCUCGCCAAGCUGCGCGCAACAGAGCGGUCCAGGCGCAGCUCAGGAUCGCUGACCACGUAGACGCGGCCGCCUUCGGUGCUCCCGGUUCCAGCCGCGAGCGGGCAGAGCCCUGACAGCAACGAAAAUGGCAAGCCGCAUGGCUCCCGGGGCCCGGGCCGCCGGCCGAGGCCUGGGAGCCGCUAAGAGGGAGCCCGGAGCUCGCCCUCGGCGUCCCCAGAAGCCCCUAGCUGAGCGCCGUGGCGGAGCAGCGGGUGAAUGAGCUAACUCCGAAUCAACCCACGCCGGGAUUCACAUCUCGUUGUCCGAUGUCGCCAGACUCUCAGCCAAGGACCCGGUCCCACGCGGCCCACCCUCUGGGUUUGGAAACCCGAUUUUGUCUUUGUGGGCUGCGUACCCAAAUGGCGGAGGAGGAACCGCGGUGGAUUUUUUCCGCGCCACCUCGGUUUCCCCUUCUACGUGUGACACAGGGCCAGCCGCACCUGUUCUCCUAUCAGGGAUUAUUGUGGGGUUGGCAGCAAAGAAUGAACGAUGGGAAAUGCUAGCUCGGCGGAGCAGGAGACCCAGCGCAGCUCCACACUUGGGUCCAUGAUUUUGGGUGCAGAUCAGAGGAAGUGCCCUGCCCUGAGGGUCCCGGGUUGCUCUGGGGCACUCUCUGCCCACCCCUGUCCCGUCGCCUGCUCCCUCCUCCCUGAUCCUUCCCACUCCCCUGCAGUCUUCCUCAGCUGGGUGGAGCGGGUGUCCCCUCCACCCUUGGGCAGGUUUUGCCCGGCAAGGACUGUUUUCUCAGGUUCCCUUGGGGGCUGGGGGGCCCCGGAAAUGUCACACAAUAGGCUCCGAGCUGGGAGGAGGAAGAACUGGCAAUAGGGCUGGUGCCCGCUAAACUCAUAGGGAAGAACACCCGUGCACUACCCAUCCUGCUCGAGGUGUUGGGGACCUUUCCCUUCUAGGUGCAGGUUUCUGGCAUAUCCCAGAAUGUCUGGGCUGGGUCCUGAGGCUUGACCUUGGGAGUUGGGCUGCCCUUCUGGGUGAAGGUGGAGGUGGGAGUAGGGAGAACCAGGGGAGAGGGCUGGGCCUGUGGGCCAGCUCUCAGCCUUCCACCCUCUGAGCAGAUUGUGGGAGGUGGAGGAGAAGAGCCGGGGUGGAUGGGGGACACCCCACUGGACUGCUCCCCCCUCUGCUUUCUACUAAACCAAUAAUCGCAGACGCGGCUCCCUGAGCCAGCAAGAAAAGGCCAGAGACCAGGACUGCCCCAGGCAGGGAAAAAAUGACCAGUUCUGCAGAGUGACCCCAAGGUGAUGGAUUCAGGCAGAGUGUCCUCUAUGACGCGGGGGGCAGGGGGGCCUGACCCCACCAGGGCUCUUGCACCCAUGCCCCAGGACUGGAAAAAUCCAGUGGGACUCUGACCCCUCCCAGGCUUUACAACCUGAGCUCACGGGGCUCUGUGUCCCAGAGCCCUGAGGUUGUCCCCUUCCCUCCCACCAAGAUAGGAAGUAGCUCAGUGGCAAGGGACAUAGCUGCAUUCAGCGUGGUAUCCCUGAAGUCCCCACAGGUGACCUCACUGAGGCCUGCUCCGUGCUGGGGACUGGAGAUCAGGGUGGAGAUGGCAGGGUGCAGCCUUGAGCAGCUGUCACUCACAGGGACACACCCUCCUGUGACAUCAGUGAAUUAUAAUGGGUACCCAUGCUGGUGGUGGCCAACAGGGAGGACAGAGGAAGUCUACCAAAGAGGGUUGGGUUGGCUCUUCCCCUCCCAGAGCCCAGGGCUGUCCCUGUCCCUCAGUCAGAGGGACUGGCUGGGGGGGGGGGCACUUCCCCUGGUCAGACCCAGUCUUUGCCCCACUUCUGCUGGGACCCUGGGUUGGCCCAUCCAGAGUCCCUAGAAAAGCAUGAGAGGACACUAUGAAGCUUGCCUGGCUGACAAGAGAGGGCGAUGUUGGGGCCAGGCUUGAGGACCACAGCUGGGCCCUUCUUCAGGUGCCUCUCUCCCUCUGCCUCUGAGGCCCCAGGGUCUGGACCCUCCUGACCAUAACCUACCCUAAGCUGCCGUAGGACCAGUUGGUCUCCUGACAGCUGCACCUGGCACUUCCCACAGGUCUAGCUCAGGCCUCAGACCCGGGCUCACUCAUCCACCUAGGAGAGGCCCUGCAGGGCAGAGUGGUCCUGCAGCUUAGAGUCUGAGGGCUUCUGUCCCACAUGCGGGUGUCUCCUGCUCCCAACCUGGAAUGUCCAGGGUGUCUUGCCACCUCCAAAGCCCUGGCACCUGGCCCCAGGCCAGGGCUGUGCUUGGUGCUCAGUGAGUGAAGGAGUGUGUGCAGGGUCCUGUGUGCAGGGUCCUGAGAGAGUAAGCCUCUGGGCCUCCACCAGUGGGCGUCUGUCCAUCCACCCAGGGACAGACAAGGAGAUGAGGGCGGCCUGGCAGAACGUGGGCUCUGCUGCGUGCCUGAGGCUGAGUCCUCUCUAGUGUCUCCCUUGGCCCUCACUUGGUCACCCAGCAUCCAGCAUGAUAAUGCCAGCACAUGUGACUGGGGAUCCAGCAGUGAGCAAGCCAGCAGGUCCCCAGCCAGAAGGGCACAGUCUAGAAAGGGAACACAGCUAGCUGGGGAAGGAGCUCCGCAGGAGGGCAGGGGUGGGAAGGUGGACAGAGGGAACCUCUUCAGAGAGAAACCUGCCACCAGGUCCUGGCCCUGGAGGGCUCGGGCCAAACUGGGACUCCUGGGCCAGGCUGCCGUUCCAGAAAGGGUACGGGCAGCCUCCCGCUCCCGGUUGCCACACAGUGUCUUGUGACCAUCACAAGGAUCCCAUGUGACAAGGUGCGAUUAUUCCCCCUCACAGGUAGAGAAACUGAUGCUCAAGGGCCUGAGCCACCUGCAUCAGGAUCUGUCCUCGAGGCAGCAGCAGGAUUCCCACGGAAAGCUCCCUGACUGCAAAGCCUGCAUUUAACGGGCUUAGCUGCAAGGACCUGCCAGGACCAGGCCCUCCUGGACAGCGGCAGGGCCACUGUCACAGAGGGGCUCUGCCUGGGACCUUUCUCUGGGCUCCUUGACCACCAGAACCUGAAUCUGGAGAGUGCUCUGGCCCCAGGGCACCUCGGACACCAGUGUACUCGCCUGGGUCCAGGAGGACUCAGCCAUUUGGGGGUCCUUGCUUCCUGAGCCCACCUUUCACUGGGGAGUCAGGGGCCCUUUUCCCCACUUCUCCCCAGUUAACUGGGCUGGAGCUCCCAGGGGAUAAGGGAGGCUCCCUGACCUGGCCAGUGGCUUUGGGGGACUCAUUUUGGGUGCUCCUACACAUGAAGAAGGUCACACUCAUUAUCUGAGCUUCUAGUAACACAUUUCCAAUCUUAAAAAGUGUCAUUAAAAAAAAAAUAGGUGUCCAUUAAGUGUACACAAAACGUGGACCACAUGGGACAAGGUUGUUCUAAUGAAUACGACUAAGGCAGUUUUCACAUCAGAGAAAUAACAGCUCCUCAUCGAAACGUGGCACUUUUAAAGAGGUUAAUUGAUAAACAGCAGGUAAUUGUUCGUGGUGCGUUGUGGCGCAGGGUAAUUUUCAUUUGAGAGGAUGGAAGGGCCAAGUACCCCUCCCCACUCAGCAUUUUUCUGUAAUAAUCACCUUGGCUUCCCCUCCGCCUUUAAUUUUUACAGCUGGAGCUGUUUAUCAUCGCUCCAACUUUCACUAAAGAGGCAAAACUAUCACUUAAACAAAGCCAUUGAAAACUCGGCAUCGUACGCGGCUUUCUUAACAUAAAUAAAUCCUACAAACCAAGAUUUAUGUUCUCUGGAUGAUGUCAUUCAUUGAAGGCUGCUUCCCAAUCAGGUCAGCAUUUCCUGAUUCUCCCUUUGUGCGUGUGCUUUUCGCUAACUAGGAACAACCCGCUCUUUUGUCUCCAUCCCAAGACCUCAGAAGGGUCUCACCCUGGGUCAGAGCCGGGUCUCAAUGGUGAGGACGGCUUUCACUGCGGCCUGCCUCCCAAGCCCCCGCUUUUGAAGCUCGGCCUGAGGUUGACAGACUGGGAAGCCAACCCUCAGCGCCCGGCAGGAGUCCCGGCCCCAGCUCCUCCGCAGGAACCCAGUCCCGGGUGAGAGGAGGAGCAUCAGUCCUGAGGGGAUAGGCAGGUGCCAGGGAGAGGCAUGUGGCCAUAGAUGGGACCGGAGCCCUGGCUCACGGUCAGCUGCGAGGAACCAAGAACAUGAAGCUGAGGGACGAUACCCGUCACCCAAGGUCACAUCUUGUAGGAUUCACAUCAUGAAAUGCCCAGGUCCUGCCAACCUAGAGUCGGUGAAGACAGAUUCCUGAGGAGCAGGCAGGGGACGCCUGCUUCAGGGGUUCCUUGUGAGGAAAUGUCUGGAAGGGGCCGUGCGGAGGUGGCACUCCUUGGGAGCCUGCUGAAGACCGCAGCCUCGAACCCUCAACAACGGCGGACGGGACGUGGUGACACGGAACCAGAUCCCCUCGGAGCUGCUGUUUAAAAUCACUACUCAGCAUUCACAUUUCAAAAGUCU